CGAAUGCUGACGUGAGUAACGACAAAACGGGUGAAAAACCCGUUCGCCGAAAGACCAAGGGUUCCAGUCCAACGUUAAUCGGGGCUGGGUGAGUCGACCCCUAAGGCGAGGCCGAAAGGCGUAGUCGAUGGGAAAAUGGUUAAUAUUCCAUUACUUCUGUGUAAUGCGAUGAGAGGACGGAGAAGGCUAAAUCAGCCUGGCGUUGGUUGUCCAGGUGAAAGGAUGUAGGCAUGUAUCUUAGGCAAAUCCGGGGUACUCUAUGCUGAGAUCUGAUAGCAAGCUGUACUUGUACAGCGAAGUGGUUGAUGCCAUGCUUCCAGGAAAAGUCUCUAAGCUUCAGUUACACAGGAAUCGUACCCGAAACCGACACAGGUGGUCAGGUCGAGUAGACCAAGGCGCUUGAGAGAACUCUGCUGAAGGAACUAGGCAAAAUGGUACCGUAACUUCGGGAGAAGGUACGCUGUUGUUGGUGAUGGAACUCGCUUCCUGAGCUGACGACAGCCGCAGAAACCAGGCCGCUGCAACUGUUUAUUAAAAACAUAGCACUCUGCAAACACGAAAGUGGACGUAUAGGGUGUGAUGCCUGCCCGGUGCUGGAAGGUUAAUUGAUGGGGUUAGCGUAAGCGAAGCUCUUGAUCGAAGCCCCAGUAAACGGCGGCCGUAACUAUAACGGUCCUAAGGUAGCGAAAUUCCUUGUCGGGUAAGUUCCGACCUGCACGAAUGGCAUAAUGAUGGCGGCGCUGUCUCCAGCAGAGGCUCAGUGAAAUCGAAAUCGCUGUGAAGAUGCAGUGUACCCGCGGCUAGACGGAAAGACCCCGUGAACCUUUACUGCAGCUUGACACUGAACUUUGACCUUACUUGUGUAGGAUAGGUGGGAGGCUUUGAAGCUGGAACGCUAGUUCCAGUGGAGCCGUCCUUGAAAUACCACCCUGGUAAUGUUGAGGUUCUAACUCUGUCCCGUGAUCCGGGACGAGGACCGUGUCUGGUGGGUAGUUUGACUGGGGCGGUCUCCUCCUAAAGAGUAACGGAGGAGUACGAAGGUGCGCUCAGCGUGGUCGGAAAUCACGCGUAGAGUAUAAAGGCAAAAGCGCGCUUAACUGCGAGACCCACAAGUCGAGCAGGUACGAAAGUAGGUCUUAGUGAUCCGGUGGUUCUGUAUGGAAGGGCCAUCGCUCAACGGAUAAAAGGUACUCUGGGGAUAACAGGCUGAUACCGCCCAAGAGUUCAUAUCGACGGCGGUGUUUGGCACCUCGAUGU
rnacentral:rRNA from 1 species